rfam:Aedes aegypti strain Liverpool supercont1.134 genomic scaffold, whole genome shotgun sequence.
CGUUCUGUGGCGUAGUUGGUUAACACGCCCAGUCUAGCGUAUUGGGAGUCGUGGGUUCGAAGCCCACUAGAACGA